rnacentral:rRNA from 1 species
AACGAACGCUGGCGGCAUGCCUAACACAUGCAAGUCGAACGAAGCCUUCGUGCUUAGUGGCGCACGGGUUCGUAACGCGUGGUAAUCUUCCCCUUGCUUCGGUAUAUCAUUUAGUAAUGACUGCUAAUACCGGAUGAAGUCUUCGGACCAAAGAUUUAUCGGCAAGGGAUGAUCCCGCGUAGGAUUAGGUUGUUGGUUGGGUAAAUGCAUACCAAGCCUACGAUCCUUAGCUGGUCUGAGAGGAUGAUCAUCCACACUGGGACUGAGACACGGCACAGAAUACUACGGGAGGGAGGAGUGGGGAAUAUAGGAAAAUGGACGAAAGUCAGAAAGAGCAAUGACGCGUGAGUGAUGAAGGCGUUAGGGUAGUAAAGCAAUUUUACAAGGGAUGAUAAUGACAGUAACAGGAGAAUAAGCACCGGCUAACUACGUG